rnacentral:tRNA from 1 species
GCCCGGGUGGUGGAAUCGGUAGACACGCAUGGUUGAGGUCCAUGUGCCGAAUCAAAAGGCUUGAGGGUUCGAGGCCCUCUCCGGGCACCA